rnacentral:rRNA from 1 species
AUUGAACGCUGGCGGCAUGCCUUACACAUGCAAGUCGAACGGCAGCACGGGGCAACCUGGUGGCGAGUGGCGAACGGGUGAGUAAUGCAUCGGAACGUACCUUUCAGUGGGGGAUAACGUAGCGAAAGUUACGCUAAUACCGCAUAUUCUGUGAGCAGGAAAGCAGGGGAUCGCAAGACCUUGCGCUGAUUGAGCGGCCGAUGUCAGAUUAGCUAGUUGGUGAGGUAAGGGCUCACCAAGGCGACGAUCUGUAGCGGGUCUGAGAGGAUGAUCCGCCACACUGGAACUGAGACACGGUCCAGACUCCUACGGGAGGCAGCAGUGGGGAAUUUUGGACAAUGGGGGCAACCCUGAUCCAGCCAUGCCGCGUGAGUGAGGAAGGCCUUCGGGUUGUAAAGCUCUUUCGGCCGGGAAGAAAUCGUAUGGGUUAAUACCCUGUGCGGAUGACGGUACCGGCAUAAGAAGCACCGGCUAACUACGUGCCAGCAGCCGCAGUAACAC